UUCUUGAUUAUGUAACUUUAUUGUUGAAAAUGUGACUAGUGUUUUUUUUCCUCCACACCCACAGCUAUUCACACUACUCAAAUGAUUACUUUUGAGCUGUGCAUUUAAACUGUUACUCCGAAUUGUUGAUCCUAAUUGGUGCUCAUAAUUCUAUCUUCUCAUACCUAUUUUCAUAAAAAUUCUGAUCAAAUAAUACUUGUAAAAGUUCAUAAAGACACUAACAAUAAUAAAAUAGCCAGGAAGGUACUAAAAUUAAGUCUAAAAAUCAGGAAACAAUUGACACAAAUGAAGUCAGCCAUCAUUACUUACACAGGAUUGGAUUUCAUUGGAGAUUUUAGAGAAAUCUUGUCCUAUAUUUGGCAAAACAAGAAAUUAAGUACAUAACUCAACCACAGUGUUUAAAUUUCCUCUCCUUUUCUUAAAGAGAACCAUCUUAAGUAUACUCAAAAAAGAAUACUAAUAACUGGUUAUUUCUUAUUCGUUUUUUCCUUUCUUCCUUUUUAUGUUGUUUUAUAAUUUGACCCUUUCUUCUGUUUAGAAUUGAUGGAUUCGAACUGAAACCAUUCAUGCAGUCCUCAGAGCUUCCGACUCAAAGACUGGCCUCCGAGACCUUGUCUGCCACCAUGCCACCUAAACCAAUGAGAAGAAAGUUUCAGACUCAUGGUAAAAAUCCUCUGAGACGAUUCUCAUUUGACCAAUCGCUCCUUGAGGUAAAGAGCAAUUGUCAUGGUCACCAUCACAAACCUAGUCGGCACUGGCUGAUGAAUGAAAUAAAGAGAUUGAAAGAAGAGAAUGAAAUACUUCAACAACAAACUACUCCAGAAACUCAGCAAGGGCCUCCUGACGAGUGUACAUCAUUAAAACGUCGCUUGGAGGAGUCCAAUAAUGUAAGAGCAAAUUUAGAGAAGCAAAUUUCUGAACUUCUAAAGGCUAAUGAGAGUUAUUCUCAAACCUCUGAAUCACAAAAAAAGAAAAUUGAUGAAUUAAAACAGGAUGUUUUUAUUUUGAAGAACUUGGUGUAUCGGUUAAAUGUUGAACUAGAAAAGUAUCAAGAUAAAGUCCGAAACUUGAAGAAUCAGAUUGAUGCUACAGAUGAUUGCCACACUGUCACGGAGGAUUCCGGAGUUGGAGAUGCAAAGUUAAUUCAUCAAACGGCCAAAAGCGAUGCUAAACCUCACGUCCCAAGCUGGACACGAUCAGAAAUUCACGCUGUAGCACCUUUACUCAAGGCCUACCAAGAAUCUUUAGAUGAGAAAGAUGAGCUAAUUCAAAAUUAUCAAAAAGCCUUGAUACUUUUGCAGGACGUUGCAAAGAAAUAGUUGCAGAAAAUGAGAAAUUACAUGCUGAGUUGCAAGGUGCCUACAAAAAAGGCGAAGUGUCUUAUGCAGAAUGGGAGUCUGUACAACAAGAUGCUGCCUUUACAC
rnacentral:lncRNA from 1 species